rnacentral:snRNA from 2 species
ACACCUUGUUGGGUCAAGGGUAUCUGUUCUUAUCAGUUUAAUAUCUGAUACGUGGAUUAUUAAUCCACAUGAUAUUAAAUUAAUUUUUUUAGGGGAGAGCUCAUCAUAAUAGCUUGCUAUUAGAGUUCUUGAGUGUCGUUCAUGCGUUGCACUAUAGCAUGGGCUUGGCGCAACCCAU